rnacentral:rRNA from 1 species
CAAGGCUUGACAUAUAGAGGAAAAGUGUAGAAAUACACUCCCCGCAAGGUCUCUAUACAGGUGGUGCAUGGUUGUCGUCAGCUCGUGUCGUGAGAUGUUGGGUUAAGUCCCGCAACGAGCGCAACCCUCGUCCUAUGUUGCCAGCACGUUAAGGUGGGAACUCAUGGGAUACUGCCGGGGUCAACUCGGAGGAAGGUGGGGAUGACGUCAAAUCAUCAUGCCCCUUAUGUCUUGGGCUUCACGCAUGCUACAAUGGCAGUGACAAUGAGAUGCUAAACAGCGAUGUUAAGCUAAACUCAAAAAACUGCCUCAGUUCGGAUUGCACUCUGCAACUCGAGUGCAUGAAGCUGGAAUCGCUAGUAAUCGCUCAUCAGCGCGGAGCGGUGAAUACGUUCCC